rnacentral:rRNA from 1 species
UACGUAGGGCGCAAGCGUUAUCCGGAAUUAUUGGGCGUAAAGAGCUCGUAGGCGGUUUGUCGCGUCUGCCGUGAAAGUCCGGGGCUCAACUCCGGAUCUGCGGUGGGUACGGGCAGACUAGAGUGAUGUAGGGGAGACUGGAAUUCCUGGUGUAGCGGUGAAAUGCGCAGAUAUCAGGAGGAACACCGGUGGCGAAGGCGGGGUCUCUGGGCCGUAAACUGACGCUGGAGGAGCGAAAAGCGUGGGGAGCGAACAGG